AGAGUUUGAUCCUGGCUCAGAGCGAACGCUGGCGGCAGGCUUAACACAUGCAAGUCGAGCGGGCGUAGCAAUACGUCAGCGGCAGACGGGUGAGUAACGCGUGGGAACGUACCUUUUGGUUCGGAACAACACAGGGAAACUUGUGCUAAUACCGGAUAAGCCCUUACGGGGAAAGAUUUAUCGCCGAAAGAUCGGCCCGCGUCUGAUUAGCUAGUUGGUAGGGUAAUGGCCUACCAAGGCGACGAUCAGUAGCUGGUCUGAGAGGAUGAUCAGCCACAUUGGGACUGAGACACGGCCCAAACUCCUACGGGAGGCAGCAGUGGGGAAUAUUGGACAAUGGGCGCAAGCCUGAUCCAGCCAUGCCGCGUGAGUGAUGAAGGCCCUAGGGUUGUAAAGCUCUUUUGUGCGGGAAGAUAAUGACGGUACCGCAAGAAUAAGCCCCGGCUACUUCGUGCCAGCAGCCGCGGUAAUACGAAGGGGGCUACGUUGCUCGGAAUCACUGGGCGUAAAGGGUGCGUAGGCGGGUCUUUAAGUCAGGGGUGAAAUCCUGGAGCUCAACUCCAGAACUGCCUUUGAUACUGAGGAUCUUGAGUUUGGGAGAGGUGAGUGGAACUGCGAGUGUAGAGGUGAAAUUCGUAGAUAUUCGCAAGAACACCAGUGGCGAAGGCGGCUCACUGGCCCGAUACUGACGCUGAGGCACGAAAGCGUGGGGAGCAAACAGGAUUAGAUACCCUAGUAGUCC
rnacentral:rRNA from 1 species